UGUCCAGGGGCGGAAUGGAACCCACAACCUUCUGCUUACCGGGCAGGUGCCAUGUCCACUAGGCUACCCUGGAC
rnacentral:tRNA from 1 species